rfam:Triticum aestivum genome assembly, contig: Triticum_aestivum_CS42_TGACv1_scaffold_222526_3B
UGUGUACUCCCUCCGUUCCAAAAUACAAUACUUCCAUUUGUCCAAAAAUGGAUGUACCUAUAUACUAAAACAUGUCUAGAUACAUAUAUAUUUUGACAAAUAGAAGGCAUGUAUUGUGCAACGGAGGGAGUAGAAU